rnacentral:piRNA from 1 species
UGCCCUGGUGCUGCAUCUGCUGCCUUUUC